rnacentral:piRNA from 1 species
UCAGCCAAAUUUCUAAUCCAUUCAUUUAUUG